AACGAACGCUGGCGGCAGGCUUAACACAUGCAAGUCGAACGCCCCGCAAGGGGAGUGGCAGACGGGUGAGUAACGCGUGGGAACAUACCCCUCGGUUCGGAAUAACUCAGGGAAACUUGAGCUAAUACCGAAUACGGUCGAGAGGCGAAAGAUUUAUCGCCGAGGGAUUGGCCCGCGUCCGAUUAGCUAGUUGGUGAGGUAAUGGCUCACCAAGGCGACGAUCGGUAGCUGGUCUGAGAGGAUGAUCAGCCACAUUGGGACUGAGACACG
rnacentral:rRNA from 1 species